GGCCAAGCCUUAGGACGCGAUGUCAGAUUAGCUAGUUGGUGAGGUAAAGGCUCACCAAGGCGACGAUCUGUAGCUGGUCUGAGAGGAGGACCCGCCACACUGGAACUGAGACACGGUCCAGACUCCUACGGGAGGCAGCAGUGGGGAAUUUUGGACAAUGGGCGCAAGCCUGAUCCAGCCAUKCCGCGUGAGUGAAGAAGGCCUUCGGGUUGUAAAGCUCUUUCGCAUGGAAAGAAAACUUAUCUCCUAAUACUAGGUGAGGUUGACGGUACCUUGAUAAGAAGCACCGGCUAACUACGUGCCAGCAGCCGCGGUAAUACGUAGGGUGCGAGCGUUAAUCGGAAUUACUGGGCGUAAAGCGUGCGCAGGCGGUUUUGUAAGUCAGAUGUGAAAUCCCCGGGCUCAACCUGGGAACUGCGUUUGAAACACAAAGCUAG
rnacentral:rRNA from 1 species